GUAGGUGGCAAGCGUUGUCCGGAAUUAUUGGGCGUAAAGCGCGCGCAGGCGGUUCGUUUAAGUCUGAUGUGAAAGCCCACGGGCUCAACCGUGGAGGGUCAUUGGAAACUGGAGAACUUGAGUACAGAAGAGGAAAGCGGAAUUCCACGUGUAGCGGUGAAAUGCGUAGAGAUGUGGAGGAACACCAGUGGCGAAGGCGGCUUUCUGGUCUGUAACUGACGCUGAGGCGCGAAAGCGUGGGGAGCAAACAGGAUUAGAUACCCUGGUAGUCCACGCCGUAAACGAUGAGUGCUAAGUGUUAGGGGGGUUUCCGCCCCUUAGUGCUGCAGCUAACGCAUUAAGCACUCCGCCUGGGGAGUACGGCCGCAAGGCUA
rnacentral:rRNA from 1 species